rnacentral:rRNA from 1 species
GGGAAACUGCCUGAUGGAGGGGGAUAACUACUGGAAACGGUAGCUAAUACCGCAUAAUGUCGCAAGACCAAAGUGGGGGACCUUCGGGCCUCAUGCCAUCAGAUGUGCCCAGAUGGGAUUAGCUGGUAGGUGGGGUAACGGCUCACCUAGGCGACGAUCCCUAGCUGGUCUGAGAGGAUGACCAGCCACACUGGAACUGAGACACGGUCCAGACUCCUACGGGAGGCAGCAGUGGGGAAUAUUGCACAAUGGGCGCAAGCCUGAUGCAGCCAUGCCGCGUGUGUGAAGAAGGCCUUCGGGUUGUAAAGCACUUUCAGCGGGGAGGAAGGCGGUGAGGUUAAUAACCUCAUCGAUUGACGUUACCCGCAGAAGAAGCACCGGCUAACUCCGUGCCAGCAGCCGCGGUAAUACGGAGGGUGCAAGCGUUAAUCGGAAUUACUGGGCGUAAAGCGCACGCAGGCGGUCUGUCAAGUCGGAUGUGAAAUCCCCGGGCUCAACCUGGGAACUGCAUUCGAAACUGGCAGGCUAGAGUCUUGUAGAGGGGGGUAGAAUUCCAGGU